rnacentral:rRNA from 1 species
GACGAACGCUGGCGGCGUGCUUAACACAUGCAAGUCGAACGAGACGAUUGAAAGCUUGCUUUCGAAAGUCGAGUGGCAAACGGGUGAGUAACGCGUAGACAACCUGCCUUUGAGAUGGGGACAACAGUUCGAAAGGACUGCUAAUACCGAAUGUUGUAUAUUUUCCAUAUGGAAGAUAUAUUAAAGAUGGCCUCUAUUUAUAAGCUAUCGCUCAAAGAUGGGUCUGCGUCUGUAUUAGCUGGUUGGUGGGGUAACGGCCUACCAAGGCGACGAUCAGUAGCCGGUCUGGGAGGAUGAACGGCAACAUUGGGACUGAGACACGGCCCAGACUCCUACGGGAGGCAGCAGUUGGGAAUCUUCCACAAUGGACGAAAGUCUGAUGGAGCAACGCCGCGUGAGUGAAGAAGGGUUUCGGCUCGUAAAGCUCUGUUGUCGGAGACGAAUGUGCAGUAUUUGAAUAAAGUACUGCAAUGACGGUACCUGACGAGGAAGCCACGGCUAACUACGUGCCAGCCGCCGCGGUAA